AGUGAACGCUGGCGGUAGGCCUAACACAUGCAAGUCGAACGGCAGCACAGUAAGAGCUUGCUCUUACGGGUGGCGAGUGGCGGACGGGUGAGGAAUACAUCGGAAUCUACUUUUUCGUGGGGGAUAACGUAGGGAAACUUACGCUAAUACCGCAUACGACCUACGGGUGAAAGCAGGGGAUCUUCGGACCUUGCGCGAUUGAAUGAGCCGAUGUCGGAUUAGCUAGUUGGCGGGGUAAAGGCCCACCAAGGCGACGAUGCGUAGCUGGUCUGAGAGGAUGAUCAGCCACACUGGAACUGAGACACGGUCCAGACUCCUACGGGAGGCAGCAGUGGGGAAUAUUGGACAAUGGGCGAAAGCCUGACCCAGCCAUACCGCGUGGGUGAAGAAGGCCUUCGGGUUGUAAAGCCCUUUUGUUGGGAAAGAAAAGCAGCAGGUUAAUACCCCGCUGUUCUGACGGUACCCAAAGAAUAAGCACCGGCUAACUUCGUG
rnacentral:rRNA from 1 species